rnacentral:misc_RNA from 1 species
GGAGGAUGGCGGUACGCGCUACUCUUACAGAAAAAGCUCUUGUUUCUUCCCUUUUAUCCCGAAUAUAGAAGGGCAGGCGUUGGAGAUGAACAGAGGUGAUAUCGUGCGCAAACAAAAACAGCCAUCAACGUCUGCCUACGAUCGCGACAAGUUUCUGGAGGCCAUGGAGCGGUACUCGAACUAUGUGAGCUCGUGGAGUUGGUUGAUCGGAGGGCCCUCUAGCUACUUUGUAGUGGAGCCGGAACAGUCGUCCGCUGAGCCUUCGCUUUAGCGGUAGCCGUUUUUUGUUGUCGAAUGGGCGUGUGUGUGGUGGUUUUCAGAUAGUAUCUGCUCCGCGUAUGAAAGCGCUACUAUUUGUUUGUAUUUUAGCUCACGAGCUUGCGUCUUCAACAACAAAAAAAAACGAACAGAGGUGUGGCCGUUCUUGGAAUCGAAAGCAGCGAGCUGAGUCUUCCAAAUCUCUCAGCUUGUCGGGAUGGCGCUCGUUGCAGUCUCAGUACUAGCCUUUUCCCUGGAUGGGGGCGUUUAUUUGUGACGCGCCAUCUUCCCCUGGCCAUGUUACCGAUGCCUUUGGCUCUACUUAACGCUGCUUCGGUCACCUGUCCUUUUCUUUCGGUUGUUCUUUUCCAUGAGUUUUGCAG